UACGUAGGUGGCAAGCGUUAUCCGGAAUUAUUGGGCGUAAAGCGCGCGCAGGCGGUUUCUUAAGUCUGAUGUGAAAGCCCACGGCUCAACCGUGGAGGGUCAUUGGAAACUGGGGAACUUGAGUGCAGAAGAGAAAAGCGGAAUUCCACGUGUAGCGGUGAAAUGCGUAGAGAUGUGGAGGAACACCAGUGGCGAAGGCGGCUCUCUGGGACGGUACUGACGCUGAGACGCGAAAGCGUGGGGAGCGAACAGG
rnacentral:rRNA from 1 species